CCUGCCUUGCAGGCAGAUUCUUUACCAUCUGAGCCACCAGGGAAGCCCCUCUUUGAGUAAUCCCCCAACAAAUGACUCAAAGCCUUCUCCAGCAGUUGGACCGUUUGCUAGCAGCAACUGUAACAGUGAAGAACAAACCUGACUUCAUAUUGAAUCUAUUCCUUUGGCUCUAACCUUUGUGUUCUGUCCUGUGCUUAGUCACAAUGGCUCUGCAUCUUUUGUAAAAGGUUGUUGCCUAUAACCUGAAAUAUGCAGGCUAUCCCCUUCUCAAGGCUCUGAUCUUUAAAGGUAUAACAUGCUUCCAUUCAUAAGGCAAGAGAAAGUUGCAGAACAGAGAAUAACAUUUGUCCUGUUGGAGGUUUAUGGGAACUUUGUGACCUGACCCACAUGAACAGUUGCAAGAACAAAGGAUUCUGGUGCCAAGAAGUUUGCAACAACCAGCCAUGCCCCACCUCCUCUUUUAGGAUAAAAGAAACCUGAAUUCUAACUCGAGUUAGGUGGUUCUUUGGAACACUCGUCCACCAUCUUCUCUGCCUGCAGGCUUUCCAAAUAAAGUUGCUGUUCCUUGGCCCAGAACCUCCUCUCUCGAUUUAUUGGCCUGUUUUGUGUGUGAGCAGUAUGAACUUGGACUCCAUAACACAACCCUAGCCCUUCCCACUCUCUCUCUGAUAAUUCAAGUGAGCAUUUAUCCAGCACCUCCUAGACCAGAUAAGGCAAAAAUCAGGUCUUCUGGGAGAAAAGCUGUUUCCAGAGCUGCCUCAGAACACUUAUGCCAGUUGCUUCAACAGAACAAAAAUCCAGUGGGAGCAAGGCCAUGAGCUUAUCUGCUCCAGUGAGCAGGCCUGACUCCCUGCAGGCCUCCGCAGAAGUGCUGACUCAGCUUCCCUGCUGAGUUCUGCCUUAAGGGUGAGUCUGGGAGGACAGUUCCUAUGCAAAAUCCAGGCCCAGGCAGGCAAGGGUAGGGAGGCCAUGGAAACCAGGGCAACUGGACUCUGUUUAUCUUUUGCUUUUUUUUUUUUUAAGUGACAGUUAAAAAUAACUUUUGCUUAAGUAAUAAAUAUGUGUUUCUUAUCGAAACCCCAAGCUAAAAAAUAAAAGUGCAAAUAAAAGAAUAAAAUCAUCUUUAAUUUCUCCACACAGUUAAACUCUGCCAACACUUCGGUAAAGAAAGGUGUUUUUUUUUGUCUUUUUAAAUGUGAAAUAUAAUGUAAUGCAUGCUCAUUGUAAAUUUUUUUCAAAUGUCAAAUCUAUUUAAAGUUAAAGGGAAGUUCUCUUCUUCACCACUUCCCUCCUUCGAAACCAAAUCCCACAACUCAUUGUAAUGAGUAACAGUUUAGCUGUAUCCUGCUAGAUCUUUUCCUAUGCAGUGAAAAAAGUGAAAGUGUUAGACAUGUCC
rnacentral:lncRNA from 1 species